UACGUAGGGUGCAAGCGUUGUCCGGAAUUAUUGGGCGUAAAGGGCUCGUAGGCGGUUUGUCGCGUCGGGAGUGAAAAUCCAGGGCUUAACUCUGGACUGGCUUCCGAUACGGGCAGACUAGAGUUCGGCAGGGGAGACUGGAAUUCCUGGUGUAGCGGUGAAAUGCGCAGAUAUCAGGAGGAACACCGGUGGCGAAGGCGGAUCUCUGGGCCAUUACUGACGCUGAGGAGCGAAAGCGUGGGGAGCGAACAGG
rnacentral:rRNA from 1 species